UGAGAGAAGCAGUCAGGCA
rnacentral:piRNA from 1 species